rnacentral:rRNA from 1 species
CGCUGGCGGCGUGCCUAAACACAUGCAAGUCAACUUGACUGAAGGAGCAAUCUGACAGUAGAGUGGCGCAAGGGUGCGUAACGCGUAAGUAACUUGCCCCAAGGUAAGGAAUAACGUCGAGAAAUCGGCGCUAAUACCUCAUAAUGCAGCGGAUCCGCAUGGAUAUGUUGUUAAAGGUUUACCGCCUUGGGAUAGGCUUGCGUCUGAUUAGCUAGUUGGUGUGGUAACGGCACACCAAGGCUACGAUCAGUAACUGGUCUGAGAGGAUGAUCAGUCACACUGGAACUGAGACACGGUCCAGACUCCUACGGGAGGCAGCAGUGAGGAAUAUUGGGCAAUGCUCGAAAGAGUGACCCAGCAACGCCGCGUGGAGGAUGAAGGUAUUCUAUAUCGUAAACUCCUGUGAGAGCAGACGAAAGACAGAUUAUUAAUCUGGAUGACUGUAUGCUCAGAGGAAGCCCCGGCUAACUACGUG